UACGUAGGGGGCAAGCGUUGUCCGGAUUUAUUGGGCGUAAAGAGCGUGUAGGCGGCUUGGAAGGUCAGCUGUGAAAACUCGAGGCUCAACCUCGAGACGUCGGUUGAAACCACCUGGCUAGAGUCCGGAAGAGGAGAGUGGAAUUCCCGGUGUAGCGGUGAAAUGCGCAGAUAUCAGGAGGAACACCAAUGGCGAAGGCAGCUCGCUGGGACGUGACUGACGCUGAGACGCGAAAGCGUGGGGAGCAAACAGG
rnacentral:rRNA from 1 species